UACGAAGGGGGCUAGCGUUGUUCGGAAUUACUGGGCGUAAAGCGCGCGCAGGCGGUCCUUUAAGUCGGGGGUGAAAGCCCAGAGCUCAACUCUGGAACUGCCUUCGAAACUAGAGGACUUGGGUACGGGAGAGGUGAGUGGAAUUCCGAGUGUAGAGGUGAAAUUCGUAGAUAUUCGGAAGAACACCAGUGGCGAAGGCGGCUCACUGGACUGGUAUUGACGCUGAGGUGCGAAAGCGUGGGGAGCAAACAGG
rnacentral:rRNA from 1 species